AGAGUUUGAUCCUGGCUCAGAACGAACGCUGGCGGCAGGCUUAACACAUGCAAGUCGAACGCCCCGCAAGGGGAGUGGCAGACGGGUGAGUAACGCGUGGGAAUCUACCGUGCCCUACGGAAUAACGCAUGGAAACGUGUGCUAAUACCGUAUACGCCCUUAGGGGGAAAGAUUUAUCGGGGUAUGAUGAGCCCGCGUUGGAUUAGCUAGUUGGUGGGGUAAAGGCCUACCAAGGCGACGAUCCAUAGCUGGUCUGAGAGGAUGAUCAGCCACAUUGGGACUGAGACACGGCCCAAACUCCUACGGGAGGCAGCAGUGGGGAAUAUUGGACAAUGGGCGCAAGCCUGAUCCAGCCAUGCCGCGUGAGUGAUGAAGGUCUUAGGAUUGUAAAGCUCUUUCACCGAUGAAGAUAAUGACGGUAGUCGGAGAAGAAGCCCCGGCUAACUUCGUGCCAGCAGCCGCGGUAAUACGAAGGGGGCUAGCGUUGUUCGGAAUUACUGGGCGUAAAGCGCACGUAGGCGGAUAUUUAAGUCAGGGGUGAAAUCCCGCAGCUCAACUGCGGAACUGCCUUUGAUACUGGGUAUCUCGAGUAUGGAAGAGGUGAGUGGAAUUCCGAGUGUAGAGGUGAAAUUCGUAGAUGUUCGGAGGAACACCANUGGCGAANGCGGCUUACUGGUCCAUUACUGACNCUGAGGUGCCAAAGCCUGGGGAGCAAACAGGAUUAGAUACCCUGUAGUCCACCC
rnacentral:rRNA from 1 species